UACAGAGGUGGCGAGCGUUAUUCGGAAUUAUUGGGCGUAAAGGGCGCGCAGGCGGCUCAUUUUGUCAGGCGUGAAAGCCCCGGGCUUAACCUGGGAACUGCGUUUGAUACGGAUGGGCUAGAGUUCGGGGGAGGAGAGUGGAAUUCCCAGUGUAGAGGUGAAAUUCGUAGAUAUUGGGAAGAACACCGGUGGCGAAGGCGGCUCUCUGGACCGAUACUGACGCUGAGGCGCGAAAGCGUGGGGAGCAAACAGG
rnacentral:rRNA from 1 species